GACGAACGCUGGCGGCGUGCUUAACACAUGCAAGUCGAACGGAAAGGCCCUGCUUUUGUGGGGUGCUCGAGUGGCGAACGGGUGAGUAACACGUGAGUAACCUGCCCUUGACUUUGGGAUAACUUCAGGAAACUGGGGCUAAUACCGGAUAGGAGCUCCUGCUGCAUGGUGGGGGUUGGAAAGUUUCGGCGGUUGGGGAUGGACUCGCGGCUUAUCAGCUUGUUGGUGGGGUAGUGGCUUACCAAGGCUUUGACGGGUAGCCGGCCUGAGAGGGUGACCGGCCACAUUGGGACUGAGAUACGGCCCAGACUCCUACGGGAGGCAGCAGGGGGGAAUAUUGCACAAUGGGCGGAAGCCUGAUGCAGCAACGCCGCGUGCGGGAUGACGGCCUUCGGGUGGUAAACCGCUUUCGCCUGUGACGAAGCGUGAGUGACGGUAAUGGGUAAAGAAGCACCGGCUAACUACGU
rnacentral:rRNA from 1 species